AGUCGAGCGGUAACAGGGGGAGCUUGCUCCCCGCUGACGAGCGGCGGACGGGUGAGUAAUGCAUAGGAAACUGCCCAGUAGUGGGGGAUAGCCCGGGGAAACCCGGAUUAAUACCGCAUACGCCCUUCGGGGGAAAGCAGGGGAUCUUCGGACCUUGCGCUAUUGGAUGUGCCUAUGUCGGAUUAGCUAGUUGGUGGGGUAAGAGCCUACCAAGGCGACGAUCCGUAGCUGGUCUGAGAGGAUGAUCAGCCACAUCGGGACUGAGACACGGCCCGAACUCCUACGGGAGGCAGCAGUGGGGAAUAUUGGACAAUGGGGGCAACCCUGAUCCAGCCAUGCCGCGUGUGUGAAGAAGGCUUUCGGGUUGUAAAGCACUUUCAGUGAGGAGGAAAACCUUACGACUAAUACUCGUGAGGCUUGACGUUACUCACAGAAGAAGCACCGGCUAACUCCGUGCCAGCAGCCGCGGUAAUACGGAGGGUGCAAGCGUUAAU
rnacentral:rRNA from 1 species